UCCUGUUUAGUGUCAUGGCAGCAAACAUUCCAACUUCCUCACUAUGAAUAAGAGUGAAACCAAGGUCUCAAAAAUCCUUUUGUCUCCUGCAGAUAUAUACAAAGUCCUAAAGAAAGUGAAUACUCCACAUAAUAUCCAAAUGAUUUUCAAACAAAUCUUGAUGAACCCACCAAAGCUACUUAGAUACUCACUAAACUCUCUGAGGAAAGUGGUGCAUCCUGCUUGGAUAAAUAAUUCCCAACUCGAUGUCCUUGAAGUUACCUUUCAUCAAGGUGUGAUUAAACGUCGGGGAUUUAUGUCUAUGACCACAGUUUUACUAAUGAACUUUAAAACACCCCUUGCUGGAACAUUUACUGUUGCUGCACACCUCAACUCCAAAUUUGAAAUCAGAUCUGCAAUGGGAAAGAAUAGAAAGCCUUGCCUUCACAUUAAACAUUAUCACACUAACCUCAAAACUUUGAAUGUUAACUUCCAGAAAUUACCACACAACAAAAAGGCUCAUGUCCAAAUAAUAAGUACCUUGAAAAAGAAUAUUCGUCCUGUGAUGAAUGAAGUACUCUACCGUCUGAUGACCACUGUCUUACCCUCUGUGGAUCCUACUUUGUCAAACUACAUAAGCUGUGUAAGGAUUUCACAAGAACAAAUAGAUAUCUUGGCUGCUAAAUGUUAAAUUCUGCUACUAGUUCUAAUCUGGGAGAAUCCUCUAUGAAAGAUGAGAACUAAAUUGAAACUGUAGCUCCUUGAUGGCUCUUGAACCUGCUUGGAAUUCUCAGAAAAGUCCUGGCUCAGAGGUGCCACCCUUCUCAUAUCCAGUGAGGUAGAUAUGACCCAUUGUAUUCAGUGGUUCCCUGUGCUCUGGAUCUAG
rnacentral:lncRNA from 1 species